rnacentral:rRNA from 1 species
UACGAAGGGGGCUAGCGUUGCUCGGAAUCACUGGGCGUAAAGGGUGCGUAGGCGGGUCUUUAAGUCAGAGGUGAAAUCCUGGAGCUCAACUCCAGAACUGCCUUUGAUACUGAGGAUCUUGAGUUCGGGAGAGGUGAGUGGAACUGCGAGUGUAGAGGUGAAAUUCGUAGAUAUUCGCAAGAACACCAGUGGCAAAGGCGGCUCACUGGCCCGAUACUGACGCUGAGGCACGAAAGCGUGGGGAGCAAGCAGG